CAAUAGCGUAUAUUAAAGUUGUUGCAGUUAAAAAGCUCGUAGUUGGAUUUCUGGUUGAAGCGACCGGUCGGGCGUUGAUUCGUCUGCACUGGAGUCGGUUUUGGCCAUCCUCUAGGAAAGUGCGUCUGGUAUUAAGUUAUCGGGCGUAUGAUCCUGGUCUUUUACUGUGAAAAAAUUAGAGUGUUUAAAGCGGGCCUUCGCCUUGAAUACAUUAGCAUGGAAUAAUAAGAUAGGACUUUGGUCUAUUUUGUUGGUUUGCAGACCGAAGUAAUGAUUAAUAGGGAUAGUUGGGGGUAUUUAUAUUCCGAUGUCAGAGGUGAAAUUCUUAGAUUUUCGGAAGAUAAACUUAUGCGAAAGCAUUUACCAAGGAUGUUUUCAUUA
rnacentral:rRNA from 1 species